GACGAACGCUGGCGGCGUGCUUAACACAUGCAAGUCGAACGGAAAGGCCCUUCGGGGUACUCGAGUGGCGAACGGGUGAGUAACACGUGGGUGAUCUGCCCUGCACUUUGGGAUAAGCCUGGGAAACUGGGUCUAAUACCGAAUAGGACCACGCGCUUCAUGGUGUGUGGUGGAAAGCUUUUGCGGUGUGGGAUGGGCCCGCGGCCUAUCAGCUUGUUGGUGGGGUAAUGGCCUACCAAGGCGACGACGGGUAGCCGGCCUGAGGGGGUGACCGGCCCCAUGGGGACGGAGCAGCGCCCCGGCUCCCGAGGGGGGGGGGAGGGGGGAAAUUUUCAACAAGGGCGGCACGCGUGCUCAGGCGCCCCGGGGGGGGGGAUGCGGGCCUUGGGUUUAAAACCCUCUUCCAAGGGGGACAAGGGGAAAGGGACGGUACCUAAAGAAAAAGCCCCGACCAACUCCGUG
rnacentral:rRNA from 1 species